rnacentral:rRNA from 1 species
GAUGAACGCUGGCGGCGUGCUUAACACAUGCAAGUCGAACGAUGAAGCCCAGCUUGCUGGGUGGAUUAGUGGCGAACGGGUGAGUAACACGUGAGUAACCUGCCCUUAACUCUGGGAUAAGCCUGGGAAACUGGGUCUAAUACCGGAUAGGAGCGUCCACCGCAUGGUGGGUGUUGGAAAGAUUUAUCGGUUUUGGAUGGACUCGCGGCCUAUCAGCUUGUUGGUGAGGUAAUGGCUCACCAAGGCGACGACGGGUAGCCGGCCUGAGAGGGUGACCGGCCACACUGGGACUGAGACACGGCCCAGACUCCUACGGGAGGCAGCAGUGGGGAAUAUUGCACAAUGGGCGCAAGCCUGAUGCAGCGACGCCGCGUGAGGGAUGACGGCCUUCGGGUUGUAACCUCUUUCAGUAGGGAAGAAGCGAAAGUGACGGUACCUGCAGAAGAAGCACCGGCUAACUACGUG